CCUACGGGAGGCUGCAGUGAGGAAUAUUGGUCAAUGGACGAGAGUCUGAACCAGCCAAGUAGCGUGAAUGAUGACUGCCCUAUGGGCUGUAAACUUCUUUUAUAAAGGAAUAAAACGAGCCACGUGUUCCUUUUUGCAUGUACUUUAUGAAUAAGGAUCGGCUAACUCCGUGCCCGCCGCCGGGGUAAUACGGAGGACCCGAGCGUUAUCCGGAUUUAUUGGGUUUAAAGGGAGCGUAGAUGGGUUGUUAAGUCAGUUGUGAAAGUUUGCGGCUCAACCGCAAAAUUGCAAUUGAUACUGGCAGUCUUGAGUGCAGUAGAGGUAGGCGGAAUUCGUGGUGUAGCGGUGAAAUGCGUAGAUAUCACGAAGAACCCCGAUUGCGAAGGCAGCUUACUAAACUGUGACUGACAUUGAUGCUCGAAAGUGUGGGUAUCAAACAGGAUUAGAUACCCCUGUAGUC
rnacentral:rRNA from 1 species